GAUGAACGCUAGCGGCAGGCUUAAUACAUGCAAGUCGAGGGGCAACAGGGGUAGCAAUACCUGCUGGCGACCGGCAAACGGGUGCGGAACACGUACAGAACCUUCCUUUAAGCGGGGGAUAGCCCAUAGAAAUGUGGAUUAAUACCCCAUAGUAAUGCUGGUUGGCAUCAACUGGUAUUUAAAGAUUUAUCACUUAAAGAUGGCUGUGCGGCUGAUUAGGUAGUUGGUGCGGGUAACGGCCCACCAAGCCAUCGAUCAGUAACUGGUGUGAGAGCACGACCAGUCACACGGGCACUGAGACACGGGCCCGACUCCUACGGGAGGCAGCAGUAAGGAAUAUUGGUCAAUGGACGCAAGUCUGAACCAGCCAUGCCGCGUGAAGGAUGAAGGCCCUCUGGGUUGUUAAACUUUCUUUUAUCUGGGAAAGAAACCACUUCUUUAUAGAGGUGUUGACGGUACCAGAGGAAUAAGCACCGGCUAACUCCGUGCCAGCCCGCCG
rnacentral:rRNA from 1 species